UACCUGGUUGAUCCUACCAGUAGUCAUAUGCUUGUCUAAAAGAUUAAGCUAUGCAUGUGUAAGUAUGAACUAAUUCAGACUGUGAAACUGCGAAUGGCUCAUUAAAUCAAUUAUAGUUUGUUUGAUGGUAUCUACUACUCGGAUAAUCGUAGUAAUUCUAGAGCUAAUACGUGCAACAAAUCUCGACUUCUAGAAGGGAUGCAUUUAUUAGAUAAAAGGUCGACACAGGCUCUGCCUGUUGCUUUGAUGAUUUAUGAUAACUCGUCGAAUCGAACGGCCUUCGUGCCGGCAACGCAUCAUUCAAAUUUCUGCCCUAUCAACUUUCAAUGGUAGGAUAGUGGCCUACCAUGGUGGUGAAGGGUGACGGAGAAUUAGGGUUCGAUUCCAGAGAGGGAGCCUGAGAAACGGCUACCACAUCCAA
rnacentral:ncRNA from 1 species